UGGCAACGGUAGUAACGUUAUACGCCGUUAGGCUCGGUGCGACGUCAAAAGGAGCCGAAACGGAGAGUUUGUGCAGAUUUUUCUCGGAGUUUCGUCGCUAUAACGUUAAACAACUCGAGCUGUUAUUGGCAAACAAACACCGACGUCAGAAAGUAAAGUUGGACCGAUUAUUUAUGUUAAUAACAGAUUCUGGACUUAACGUUACGGUUAACCCAACUGGAGCCACAGCUCAUGAGGCAAAAUUCAGAAUAACCGACAUUUUUUUUUUAAAGUAAGACGUUGAAGCGAGAAGUUUCUCAACAUUUGGACAUGGAUUCAAGAAAAGUUGUGCACAGAAGAAAACCUGACAUUCAUGCAUCGGAUAAGAACCAGCGUUCACAGGAGGUCAAUGUUAAAAGUCUUGACCUCAGUAAGGUGAUUCAUCUUCUUGAAGAUCCUUUGACAGCUAACUUGAAGGAGAGGCAUCUUUUUGUGUUGAAGAAACUACUGAAGAGAAGCCAGAUUGGCUUUCUUUUGAAGGAGCUGUCAGGCAUUGGCAAAAUACUCAACAUCUGUGCUGAGAAAGUGACUGAUCACCCUGAAUAUGUACCCAUUUUGUGUGAGGCACUUCAAAUUUGUAGGCUUCCCUUCCUGAAGGAGAAAGUAUCUGAUGAGCAGAACUACACUCAGGAUGUCAUAGAGUUCCUCUCUAACCUGGGCUGUCUGAUGAGGAUGUCAGAUGCUGAAGUGAGACAGCACAUAGUUCAGUGUGUGAGAUCAUUCUACAGCUGUGUAGCUCCUAAACAGCUGCUUGAGGGUAUGGCUGGUUUCAUCAAGCCAAAGCCUCGGAUUUUCCACUCUGACAACCAAUUUUCUAGACUUUCACUGAGGCUCCAGCCAACUUCUCCAGGCUACAGGCUACAGCUGCUGGAGCGCAGUGACCUGGCUCAGACGUUGGUCCUCUCCAUGGCCGCUCUGGAGAACCAGCCCGCCAUCAAGCUGCAGCUCCUGCAGACACUUCAGAUCCUCUCCAGCUCUUCUGAUAUGAACUGUGCAUUAAUACUGAAUGCACGUGGAGCAGAGAUGAUCUGUCUCCACAUGAACGAGCCCGACCCAUCCGGUCAGGUCCUGUUCUACUCCUCCGAAAUCCUCUGGAACCUACUGGAGAAAGGCAGCAAGGAGGCCACUGCUCAGCUCAGCAGCAUCGAGUGUGUCAUAUCUCUGAAAGAAGCAUUUAUUCACCAGCUGAUUAAUGGUUUCCGACAUUCUGACCUCCAACUCAGAAAUGAUCUGCUCGUGAUCACAACUCUCAUCACUGAAAAUCUCAACUCUCUGAUCAAUGAGAGUUUAUUUGCCAAACAGCUCGUAGCUUUGGUCACCUUUCCAGAGCGUGAGGCCACUCUUUCCUUAUACAUCACUGUUUCAUUUUUAAAUUUGAGUUAUUUAUCAGUAUUCGUGACAACAAAAUGCUUCAUUUAUGUUGCAGUGAAAAGUCAGAACCCCCUGGUCUGCAACCUCAAGCUUACCUACAAUAACGAAGAUUUUCAAAUGAAGAAGCUGCUGUUGAAUCUGUUGGUUAUAAUGUCAAAGGACUCAGCUGCCCUGCAGCUGUAUAAGGAGGAAAGAGUUACGCCUGCUCUUCUGACGCUUGUGAGUCCGCCUGCAUCCUCAUCUGAGCGGCGCUCAGCUUCACGUCAGUGGUCCCCCGUCCAGCAGGAGGAGCUCCAGCUGCAGGCGCUAGCCACACUCUCCACCAUCGCUCCGCUCAUGUUGGAUGACUAUAUAACUUGUCAGGGAAACUCCUGUCUGCUGCUCCUGCUGGACUGGUGUGUUGCACAAGAUCCUUUCUUUGGUCAGAGUCACAGUUCAGGGGGAAGAGGCAGUAAGAAGGCUCAGAUGCGACAUUGUAUCAGAGUGCUGAGAUCUGUGACGUCUUCAGGUGAAGACUUAGUCAAUGAGGACCUUUGUGAUCAAGGAGUUAUCAACCAGCUCUUGGGGAUUUUGAUGCAGAUGGAAGCAAGUCCUGAUGAGGAGGAUGAAGUCACCCUGGAGAUAAAGUCAGAUAUUCAACUGAUACUUUCAGCGCUGUGUGAGAGUGACAUGCAUAGAAAGGAGCUGUUUGGAUCAGAGGGAGUUGAGAUGGCAGUUCACUUCCUGAGGAAAGGCUGCAACAAUUUCUACAAUGGUCUGGGACACAACAAGCUCAUCCUCUCCACAGUGGACUGUGUGCGGUCUUGUAUUGUGGGCUGCUACACCACAGAAGAUUAUUUUUUGGCUAAAGGUGGGGCGUCUCUUGUGUUGGAUUUACUCAGGUCAAGCCCCAGAUGCGUACACUGCAUUGUCCUUGCCACCCUGCUGGAGUUAUGUGAAAACCCGAACACUCUGUCUCACAUCCUGAGCUGGAGGGAUGUUGGCAGUCAGACGGCUCCCAGACUCCUGCUGCAGCUGUGGAGGGACGAGGAGGAGAAGCUGAAAGUCAGCCGAACCAGACACGGAGGGAUUGCAGAUCCCCAGAGGCCAAUCCUCAGUCAUUACCAGCAGGAGGACACUCAGCUGUCAUUUCCUGCAACAACACCGAGUGCAGCAGUGCUGGAGCUUUCAGAAAACCUGCGGUCAAAGAUUUACCUCAUCUUCUGCAAACUUGGAUUUCAAGGCCUUCCUGGAUUGUCAGGAAAAGAUUAUGUGACCUUGAGCAUCAUCAGGAGAUAUCUGGACUUCAAGGUCAGUGAGGUUUGGAAAGAGAUCAGCAGGGAGCUGAGUCUGGAAGGUGUGAGGCCGAUCACCCCUGAUGAGGAGGCUCUGAGUACGAUCCAUAAGGUCUCAGAGGAUACGGCAAGCAGGGCUGUAGCAGAACAAAACAGCAUUCUGGAGCAGCUGGAGAAGGAUGACAUCGACAAGGAGGAGUUCAUGUACACAGAGAUAAAGUCUCGCUGGAAGCAGCAGGAGCUCACAGCCAAGUCAUGGGACAGUUACGUUUCCAGGACUUCAAAUCAUGAGAUCCUGAAGGAAGUGAAAGCACAGAGGGAGAAAUACACUGAAUCAUCCAGACCCAAACCAAUGCAUGAAGAUGCUGCAGUUCUUCCUAAAAAGCAUUUCAUCGGGCAGGUGAUGUCUAUAGAGAGAACAGGUGCUUCAGGCCCUGCAGGAGUGAAACUAAGGCUGGCCAGAGCUCCCAUCAAGGCUGCAGGAGGUUGUUGUUUGGUCUGAGGAGCUUCAGCAGCAGAAAUGAUCAUCAGACUGGGGCGACUGACACCGGGAUACUUCCGUCUCCUCCAGAGGCAGGUCUCAGGCGAGGUCCGCAUGCAGCCACAGAACAGUUUCAUCGAUCCCAUCGCCAUGACGAUGGCCACACUGGGGAUGGGAGUGUCACUGUACAGCACCAGGCAGAUGGCAGAGAGGGUCCAUCUGAAGCACAGCACAGCCUGAGAUCAGUGAUAAAUACUCAGCCUCAGACCUGCAGCUCUGUGGGCGGUUUAUGUGACAGAUUAUUUGUAUGUCGCAGAGGGUUUGUGAUGGAGGACGUGGAGAGAGUUAAUGUGUUUGUGGUGUUGCUUGAUGGAAAAUUUAAGUGUCCCAGCAGGAAAAUGUGAGUCACUGUUCAGUCCCAGUAGGAAGAUGUGGCAUAUGGUCAAGCAAUUUACAAUUUUUUUUUUUUUGCAACCUCAACAUUUAUAAGCAAAUAUAAAUGGGCCUGUAGUUUAACCACUCUGCAUAUUUUCUGCAGGUUGCCUUUAAUUUCAUCAGUGAUUGAAUGUUAAUGUAAUAAAUGCGCAUAUUGUUUGUCGACAAAGAUUUCAGCAUGAUAGUUUGACCUGCAGCAGUUAUCAUUUCCUGCAUUUUAUACUGUAGAAAGACACACACAAAAAAAAAACAGAAAAUCUAAUAAAAUAAUUAUGUCAGGAAUUCUCUCAGCAUAUGGCUUGUUAUAUUUCUUGGUAUUAGUCACAAACAUGCACUUUUCCUUCAAAAUAAAUAACAUUUGUUGUACUUUAACAUGUGAAUGUUAUGAAUACAAAUUAAAUCCUCAAGCAGCAUCACCCUUUUUAAGUUAUUAUUUAUGAAGCAGACUUUAAUCAUCAGCUUUAGAGAAAGCUGUUUUCAUCAGAGCAUCUUCAUUUUGCUUAAUUAAAAUUUCAUGUUUGUACCAGAAUUUAAUAAAGGAAAUGUGUGUAAAUGUAAAGUGCCACCGAAAGACAUUCAAAGAAUUUAUUUUGUUUAAUAAAAAAUUUGGUAAAUUGAUAUAAUUCUCAAAUAAAAAUGCUCAUAGUCACAUCUCUA